rnacentral:lncRNA from 1 species
CAGAAAAGUGUCAACCUCACGAAUUGCAGUGUACAAAUACGUAUAUCGUCAUAAUGAGAAAAAUCUUCUUUUUUACACAACCGUUAUACAUCAAAUAUUUCAUGCAGUCGACAUGUCCCAGAUUUUCCAAUUUCAAUAUUUCCUGUUCUUCUUCGAUAUCUUUAUCGAUGAUGAUGCAUGCAAUUAGAUUUGAAUGAAUUUUAUAGUUUCAUUUGUUCGUUUUAU